CAGUAGCCGCGGUAAUACGUAGGGUGCAAGCGUUAAUCGGAAUUACUGGGCGUAAAGCGUGCGCAGGCGGUUCGUUAAGACAGAUGUGAAAUCCCCGGGCUUAACCUGGGAACUGCAUUUGUGACUGGCGGGCUAGAGUAUGGCAGAGGGGGGUAGAAUUCCACGUGUAGCAGUGAAAUGCGUAGAGAUGUGGAGGAAUACCGAUGGCGAAGGCAGCCCCCUGGGCCAAUACUGACGCUCAUGCACGAAAGCGUGGGGAGCAAACAGGAUUAGAUACCCGCGUAGUCCCUGUCUCUUAUAC
rnacentral:rRNA from 1 species